rnacentral:rRNA from 1 species
GACGAACCACCCAAACGUUAUUCGGAAUUACUGGGCGUAAAGCGUGCGCAGGCAGUUUUGUAAGUCAGAUGUGGAAUCCCCGGGCUUAACCUGGGAACUGCGUUUGAAACUACAAGGCUAGAGUGUGGCAGAGGGGGGUGGAAUUCCACGUGUAGCAGUGAAAUGCGUAGAGAUGUGGAGGAACACCGAUGGCGAAGGCAGCCCCCUGGGUUAACACUGACGCUCAGGCACGAAAGCGUGGGGAGCAAACAGG